GUCCCCUCGAGGGACGCUAGAAAAUUGGAUAAACGAUACAGAGAAGAUUAGCAUGGUCCCUGGACAAGGAUGACACGAUUUGAUCGAGAAAGUAUCUCUACUUUU
rfam:Naegleria gruberi genomic scaffold NAEGRscaffold_2, whole genome shotgun sequence.